AAGAGGGUAGUUUAAAAAAAACACUUGUUUUGGGGGCAGGCAAUGGGAAAGCUUUCUCCCCUCUU
rnacentral:tRNA from 1 species